AAGUCGUAACAAGGUAACCGUAGGUGAACCUGCGGUUGGAUCAUUAGUAAUUACACUUUGUUGUAAUGAUAAUGCAAUUUUUUAUAUUGGAGUAGUGCGAUGAGUGGUAGUUAUCUCGGUAACAGUGACCAUGAGUACUAUGACAAUGACUGUGUUGAUCGCAAGGUCAAUGCUUGUAUACCACUCGUAAAUUUUUGACUGAUAAAUGGAAAGAGUAUAACUUUAGACAACGGAUCUCUAGGCUCUC
rnacentral:misc_RNA from 1 species